GGUGGCCGCAGAGAAUAGGCCCAAGCGACUGUUUACCAAAAACAUAGGUUUCUGCUAAGUCGCAAGACGAUGUCUCGGAGCUGACGCCUGCCCGGUGCUGGAAGGUUAAGGUGCUCUGUUAGAGCAAUCGAAGCAGUGAACUUAAGCCCCAGUAAACGGCGGCCGUAACCACAACGGUCCCUAGGUAGCGAAAUCCCUUUUCGGGUCAGUUCCGACCCGCACGAAAGGCGUACGAUUUGG
rnacentral:rRNA from 1 species